AGUCAAUAGAUACCCAGGUAGUCCAUGCCGUAAACGAUGAUUGCUAGGUGUGGGGGGUCUGACCCCUCCCGUGCCGGAGUCAAACACAAUAAGCAAUCCACCUGGGGAGUACGGCCGCAAGGUUGAAACUCAAAGGAAUUGACGGGGGCCCGCACAAGCAGUGGAGUAUGUGGUUUAAUUCGAAGCAACGCGAAGAACCUUACCAGGUCUUGACAUCCACCGAAUCCUGUAGAGAUACGGGAGUGCCCUUCGGGGAACGGUGAGACAGGUGGUGCAUGGUUGUCGUCAGCUCGUGUCGUGAGAUGUUGGGUUAAGUCCCGCAACGAGCGCAACCCUUGUGAAUAGUUGCUACGAAAGAGCACUCUAUUCAGACCGCCGUUGACAAAACGGAGGAAGGUGGGGAUGACGUCAAAUCAUCAUGCCCCUUAUGACCUGGGCUACACACGUACUACAAUGGUCGUCAACAGAGGGAAGCAAGACCGCGAGGUGGAGCGAACCCCUAAAAACGAUCUCAGUUCAGAUUGCAGGCUGAAACUCGCCU
rnacentral:rRNA from 1 species